AGCGAACGCUGGCGGCAGGCUUAACACAUGCAAGUCGAGCGGGCACUUCGGUGUCAGCGGCAGACGGGUGAGUAACACGUGGGAACGUACCCUUCGGUUCGGAAUAACGCUGGGAAACUAGCGCUAAUACCGGAUACGCCCUUUUGGGGAAAGGUUUACUGCCGAAGGAUCGGCCCGCGUCUGAUUAGCUAGUUGGUGGGGUAAUGGCCUACCAAGGCGACGAUCAGUAGCUGGUCUGAGAGGAUGAUCAGCCACACUGGGACUGAGACACGGCCCAGACUCCUACGGGAGGCAGCAGUGGGGAAUAUUGGACAAUGGGCGCAAGCCUGAUCCAGCCAUGCCGCGUGAGUGAUGAGGGCCUUAGGGUUGUAAAGCUCUUUUGUCCGGGACGAUAAUGACGGUACCGGAAGAAUAAGCCCCGGCUAACUUCGUG
rnacentral:rRNA from 1 species